rnacentral:rRNA from 1 species
UACGUAGGCAGCAAGCGUUGUUCGGAAUUACUGGGCGUAAAGAGUGUGUAGGCGGUGCUCUAAGUUUGGUGUGAAAUCUCCCGGCUCAACCGGGAGGCUGCAUCGAAUACUGGAAUGCUAGAGGGUGGGAGAGGUAAGCGGAAUUCCUGGUGUAGCGGUGAAAUGCGUAGAUAUCAGGAGGAACACCUGUGGUGUAGACAGCUUACUGGACCACUUCUGACGCUGAGGCGCGAAAGCUAGGGGAGCAAACAGG